AAUGUUUCAAUGUCUACAAGGUUAGUACGUUUACCGAAAAGUUUGAUAAAACGUUUUAAACGCCCACAAAGGUAAU
rnacentral:tRNA from 1 species